rnacentral:lncRNA from 1 species
CUGGAGACUUCAACUUUGACACUUGCUUCUGUUUCUUAUAUCUUUGAAAAUCUGAUAACCCUCCUCAAAAAAUGAGAAGACAGGCUUUAAAUAGCAAAGAUAUAGGGCACUGGAAGAACUGACUCUUCAGUUAACACUUAGAAACAGAAGACCUCAAUUGAAGACUACCUUUUAACUACCCUCAAGCCCAAGCAGAAGAUUCUGAGGAGGGUAUGCGCCUGUGUCAUGCUGUCUAACUGGAGUAAUUUCCUAGAAUUCUUACCCUGGGAAGCAGUUUAUUAUUUUGAACCCAAUAGAAGUUGGAAUUCUUGGUUUUAAUGGUGGGGAAGCUCUUAAAACACAUCUACACUUUUGCUGUAACAACUUACAUCCAAGAAUGAGGAAUACAACCUGUUAGUCUUUAUCACUCAUUUGGGGCCCUCAGCUUCAAUGGACCUAAAUUGUGGAAGUUCUGGAAAACAUAAAAA